rnacentral:rRNA from 1 species
UACAGAGGUCUCGAGCGUUGUUCGGAUUCAUUGGGCGUAAAGGGUGCGUAGGUGGCGCUGUAAGUCGGGUGUGAAAUCCUGAGGCUUAACCUCGGAACUGCAUUCGAUACUGCGGUGCUUGAGGACUGGAGAGGAGACUGGAAUUCAUGGUGUAGCAGUGAAAUGCGUAGAGAUCAUGAGGAAGACCAGUGGCGAAGGCGGGAUCGUCGUGGACAGUUCCUUGACACUGAGGCACGAAGGCCAGGGGAGCAAACGGG